UUGGGCCUCGUGGUGCAUUCACUGAAGUCAAUAAUUGCCCACUGGGAACUAUUUUUAAUAGUUCUCACGCCCCUGUUUUAUGGUUUACUUUUCAGAGCCUUCGGCACCGGCGGAGGCACGGGAUCGCGGCAAGGGGAUCGCUUAGUUAGCUAGCGAGGAGCGGUACUUUGCCUAGGUGGUUUACUCUUUCUUUUUGUAGUUGAGAGAGUGAGAGGUUUUUGUAUUCAUGUAUAGAGACCACCUGAGUAUCUACCUAUAGCACUUGUAUCUGGGAUUUUCUUGUAUCACUUUAUGUUUUAUUUAGUGGAUUUACAGUUUUAUCCUUAUUCCUUGUUGUAGCAUUUAGACAUUUAUUAUGCUCUGAUACUCCUAGAUGUCUUUUAUUAUUGCUUUUAUUAUCGUUGUUUUUAGACGCCUUAUAUGUUUUAGACGUAUGGCGGGUUUGGGCACGCGCCGGGCGGGCUUCCGCUUGGUCCCGGGGCGUGACACAAAGACAGGUCUCCUCGAGAGGACCGGUCCCUGAGGAUGACGUCAGUUUUUAAAAUUGUAUUU
rnacentral:lncRNA from 1 species